AGGGGAAUAGCUGGGUCAAAUGUUAGUUCCAUUCCCAGCUUUCCAAGGUAUCUCUAUACUGUUUUCCAAAUUGGCUGCACCAAUUUGCAGUCCCACCAGCAAU
rnacentral:pre_miRNA from 1 species